UCCAGGGUAGCCUAGUGGACAUGGCAUCUGCUCGGUAAGCGGAACACUGUGUGUUCGAUUCCCAUCCUUGGAA
rnacentral:tRNA from 1 species